GAUGUUACAUGUACCUACUAGUGGUAGGAGAUUCAAAUUUUGAAAUUGAAUCUAGGAUUUAGUGGGAUUACACAUUGGUAUAGUUGUGUGGUUUUUGGAAAUUGGAGAGCGGACGGGUUUCGUCGCGAAUCCGUGACCGAUCGAUGCGAACCAAAUCGUAGGUUUAUUGUCUCCGUUGUGCUGAUCGCACUAGUGCGAUCCGUUCGCAAAUCUGACCGACGGAUCUGCGGAUAUCGCACGUGGUUCGAGGAGGGGUCUUAGAUGGCAAAUUGGUAUUUUUGCGAAAGGUACGACAUUUUAUGUACCGUUUCACGUGAGAUCGCACAUGGGGGUAUAUGCGCGCGUUUUACUCAUGCUGUGGAGGACCCAGUUUGAAAUUCUGAUUUUUGGUGGACUUAUUUGCAAUUCUGCACCAAGUAUUUAUGGUUGCAUUAGGGUUUUCCACUUGAAGCCCUAACCUAGCCCUAGCCGCACCCCCAGCCACCUUCACCCUGCUCCCCUGCCCUAGUCGCGUGCCUUCCGGUCGCCGCUGACCAAGUCCGGCCGGUCGGCCGCCGCCGCAUCACCUUUUUCUCCUCUCUCUCUCUCUCUCUCUCUCUCUUCUCUCGGGUUGAGAGGAGGCCCGAGACUGGGUUGCCUCCAGGCUCUGCCCCAGCGUCGCCCUGACCCCAUCGGAGCUUCCCCCGGUCGGUCGCUGCCGCCUGCCACCGUCGCCUACGCCGCCGCUGCUGGUUCUGCAGCCUGCGGCCACCCCAGCCCGAGCCCGGGCUGAGGCAGGUAUGCGACC
rnacentral:lncRNA from 1 species